GGGGAAUAUUGCGCAAUGGGGGGAACCCUGACGCAGCAACGCCGCGUGAAGGAAGAAGGCCUUCGGGUUGUAAACUUCUUUGAUUGGGGACGAAGUAAGUGACGGUACCCAAGGAACAAGCCACGGCUAACUACGUGCCAGCAGCCGCGGUAAUACGUAGGUGGCGAGCGUUGUCCGGAAUUACUGGGUGUAAAGGGCGCGUAGGCGGGGGAGUAAGUCAGAUGUGAAAGCCCAUGGCUCAACUGUGGGACUGCACCUGAAACUACUUUUCUUGAGUGCUGGAGAGGAAAGCGGAAUUCCUAGUGUAGCGGUGAAAUGCGUAGAUAUUAGGAGGAACACCAGUGGCGAAGGCGGCUUUCUGGACAGUAACUGACGCUGAGGCGCGAAAGCGUGGGUAGCAAAC
rnacentral:rRNA from 1 species